UACGUAGGGUGCGAGCGUUAAUCGGAAUUACUGGGCGUAAAGCGUGCGCAGGCGGUUUUGUAAGACAGGCGUGAAAUCCCCCGGGCUCAACCUGGGAAUUGCGCUUGUGACUGCAAGGCUGGAGUGCGGCAGAGGGGGAUGGAAUUCCGCGUGUAGCAGUGAAAUGCGUAGAUAUGCGGAGGAACACCGAUGGCGAAGGCAAUCCCCUGGGCCUGCACUGACGCUGAGGUGCGAAAGCGUGGGGAGCAAACAGG
rnacentral:rRNA from 1 species